GGCAGCGCGGGGCAACCUGGCGGCGAGUGGCGAACGGGUGAGUAAUAUAUCGGAACGUGCCCUGGAGUGGGGGAUAACGCAGCGAAAGUUGCGCUAAUACCGCAUACGAUCUAAGGAUGAAAGCGGGGGAUUCGCAAGAACCUCGUGCUCCUGGAGCGGCCGAUAUCUGAUUAGCUAGUUGGUGGGGUAAAGGCCUACCAAGGCAUCGAUCAGUAGCUGGUCUGAGAGGACGACCAGCCACACUGGAACUGAGACACGGUCCAGACUCCUACGGGAGGCAGCAGUGGGGAAUUUUGGACAAUGGGCGAAAGCCUGAUCCAGCAAUGCCGCGUGAGUGAAGAAGGCCUUCGGGUUGUAAAGCUCUUUUGUCAGGGAAGAAACGGUGAAGGCUAAUAUCCUUUGCUAAUGACGGUACCUGAAGAAUAAGCACCGGCUAACUACGUGCCAGCAGCCGCGGUAAUACGUAGGGUGCAAGCGUUAAUCGGAAUUACUGGGCGUAAAGCGUGCGCAGGCGGUUUUGUAAGUCUGUCGUGAAAUCCCCGGGCUCAACCUGGGAAUUGCGAUGGAGACUGCAAGGCUAGAAUCUGGCAGAGGGGGGUAGAAUUCCACGUGUAGCAGUGAAAUGCGUAGAGAUGUGGAGGAACACCGAUGGCGAANGCAGCCCCCUGGGUCAAGAUUGACGCUCAUGCACGAAAGCGUGGGGAGCAAACAGGAUUAGAUACCCUGGUAGUCCACGCCCUAAACGAUGUCUACUAGUUGUCGGGUUUUAAUUAACUUGGUAACGCAGCUAACGCGUGAAGUAGACCGCCNGGGGAGUACGGUCGCAAGAUUAAAACUCAAAGGAAUUGACGGGGNNCCGCACAAGCGGNGGAUGAUGUGGAUUNAUUCG
rnacentral:rRNA from 1 species